UCCAUGGCUGAAUGGUUAAAACGCCCAACUCAUAAUUGGUGAAUUCGUAGGUUCAAUUCCUAAUAAGGAA
rnacentral:tRNA from 1 species